GAGGAAUAUUGGUCAAUGGGCGCAAGCCUGAACCAGCCAUCCCGCGUGCAGGAUGACGGCCCUAUGGGUUGUAAACUGCUUUUGUACAGGAAGAAAAAUCCCGAUGUAUCGGGACUUGCCGGUACUGUGCGAAUAAGCAUCGGCUAACUCCGUGCCAGCAGCCGCGGUAAUACGGAGGAUGCAAGCGUUAUCCGGAUUCAUUGGGUUUAAAGGGUGCGUAGGCGGCUAUUUAAGUCAGUGGUGAAAUCUUGCCGCUUAACGGUAAAAUUGCCAUUGAUACUGAAUAGCUUGAGUACAGUUGAGGUAGGCGGAAUGUGUAGUGUAGCGGUGAAAUGCUUAGAUAUUACACAGAACACCAAUUGCGAAGGCAGCUUACUAAACUGUCACUGACGCUGAUGCACGAAAGCGUGGGGAUCGAAC
rnacentral:rRNA from 1 species